rnacentral:rRNA from 1 species
CCUACGGGCUGCACCAGUGGGGAAUAUUGCACAAUGGGCGCAAGCCUGAUGCAGCCAUGCCGCGUGUGUGAAGAAGGCCUUCGGGUUGUAAAGCACUUUCAGCGGGGAGGAAGGCGAUAAGGUUAAUAACCUUGUCGAUUGACGUUACCCGCAGAAGAAGCACCGGCUAACUCCGUGCCAGCAGCCGCGGUAAUACGGAGGGUGCAAGCGUUAAUCGGAAUUACUGGGCGUAAAGCGCACGCAGGCGGUCUGUCAAGUCGGAUGUGAAAUCCCCGGGCUCAACCUGGGAACUGCAUCUGAUACUGGCAAGCUUGAGUCUCGUAGAGGGGGGUAGAAUUCCAGGUGUAGCGGUGAAAUGCGUAGAGAUCUGGAGGAAUACCGGUGGCGAAGGCGGCCCCCUGGACGAAGACUGACGCUCAGGUGCGAAAGCGUGGGGAGCAAACAGGAUUAGAUACCCCCGUAGUC